rnacentral:rRNA from 1 species
AACGAACGCUGGCGGCAUGCCUAACACAUGCAAGUCGAACGAGACCUUCGGGUCUAGUGGCGCACGGGUGCGUAACGCGUGGGAACCUGCCCUUAGGUUCGGAAUAACUCCCCGAAAGGGGUGCUAAUACCGGAUAAUGUCUUCGGACCAAAGAUUUAUCGCCUUUGGAUGGGCCCGCGUUGGAUUAGCUAGUUGGUAGGGUAAAAGCCUACCAAGGCGACGAUCCAUAGCUGGUCUGAGAGGAUGAUCAGCCACACUGGGACUGAGACACGGCCCAGACUCCUACGGGAGGCAGCAGUGGGGAAUAUUGGACAAUGGGCGAAAGCCAGAUCCAGCAAUGCCGCGUGAGUGAUGAAGGCCUUAGGGUUGUAAAGCUCUUUUACCCGGGAUGAGAAUGACAGUACCGGGAGAAUAAGCUCCGGCUAACUCCGUG